rnacentral:rRNA from 1 species
GCGUGCCUAAUACAUGCAAGUAGAACGCUGAAGAGAGGAGCUUGCUCUUCUUGGAUGAGUUGCGAACGGGUGAGUAACGCGUAGGUAACCUGCCUUGUAGCGGGGGAUAACUAUUGGAAACGAUAGCUAAUACCGCAUAACAAUGGAUGACACAUGUCAUUUAUUUGAAAGGGGCAAUUGCUCCACUACAAGAUGGACCUGCGUUGUAUUAGCUAGUAGGUGAGGUAAUGGCUCACCUAGGCGACGAUACAUAGCCGACCUGAGAGGGUGAUCGGCCACACUGGGACUGAGACACGGCCCAGACUCCUACGGGAGGCAGCAGUAGGGAAUCUUCGGCAAUGGGGGCAACCCUGACCGAGCAACGCCGCGUGAGUGAAGAAGGUUUUCGGAUCGUAAAGCUCUGUUGUAAGUCAAGAACGGGUGUGAGAGUGGAAAGUUCACACUGUGACGGUAGCUUACCAGAAAGGGACGGCUAACUACGUGCCAGCAGCCGCGGUAAUACGUAGGUCCCGAGCGUUGUCCGGAUUUAUUGGGCGUAAAGCGAGCGCAGGCGGUUUGAUAAGUCUGAAGUUAAAGGCUGUGGCUCAACCAUAGUUCGCUUUGGAAACUGUCAAACUUGAGUGCAGAAGGGGAGAGUGGAAUUCCAUGUGUAGCGGUGAAAUGCGUAGAUAUAUGGAGGAACACCGGUGGCGAAAGCGGCUCUCUGGUCUGUAACUGACGCUGAGGCUCGAAAGCGUGGGGAGCGAACAGGAUUAGAUACCCUGGUAGUCCACGCCGUAAACGAUGAGUGCUAGGUGUUGGAUCCUUUCCGGGAUUCAGUGCCGCAGCUAACGCAUUAAGCACUCCGCCUGGGGAGUACGACCGCAAGGUUGAAACUCAAAGGAAUUGACGGGGGCCCGCACAAGCGGUGGAGCAUGUGGUUUAAUUCGAAGCAACGCGAAGAACCUUACCAGGUCUUGACAUCCCGAUGCUAUUUCUAGAGAUAGAAAGUUACUUCGGUACAUCGGUGACAGGUGGUGCAUGGUUGUCGUCAGCUCGUGUCGUGAGAUGUUGGGUUAAGUCCCGCAACGAGCGCAACCCCUAUUGUUAGUUGCCAUCAUUCAGUUGGGCACUCUAGCGAGACUGCCGGUAAUAAACCGGAGGAAGGUGGGGAUGACGUCAAAUCAUCAUGCCCCUUAUGACCUGGGCUACACACGUGCUACAAUGGUUGGUACAACGAGUUGCGAGUCGGUGACGGCGAGCUAAUCUCUUAAAGCCAAUCUCAGUUCGGAUUGUAGGCUGCAACUCGCCUACAUGAAGUCGGAAUCGCUAGUAAUCGCGGAUCAGCACGCCGCGGUGAAUACGUUCCCGGGCCUUGUACACACCGCCCGUCACACCACGAGAGUUUGUAACACCCGAAGUCGGUGAGGUAACCUUUUGGAGCCAGCCGCCUAAGGUGGGACAGAUGAUUGGGGUGAAG